rnacentral:rRNA from 1 species
UAAAACUUUCAACAAUGGAUCUCUUGGUUCCGGCAUCGAUGAAGAACGCAGCGAAAUGCGAUAACUAGUGUGAAUUGCAGAAUUCCGUGAAUCAUCGAGUCUUUGAACGCACAUUGCGCCCCCUGGUAUUCCGGGGGGCAUGCCUGUCCGAGCGUCAU